UACGGGGGGGAGCAAGCGUUGUUCGGAUUUACUGGGCGUAAAGGGCGCGUAGGCGGCAAUUCAAGUCAUCUGUGAAAUCUCCGGGCUUAACUCGGAACGGUCAGAUGAUACUGCUUUGCUAGAGUGCAGAAGGGGCAAUCGGAAUUCUUGGUGUAGCGGUGAAAUGCGUAGAUAUCAAGAGGAACACCUGAGGUGAAGACGGGUUGCUGGGCUGACACUGACGCUGAGGCGCGAAAGCCAGGGGAGCAAACGGG
rnacentral:rRNA from 1 species